AGAGUUUGAUCAUGGCUCAGGACGAACGCUGGCGGCGUGCUUAACACAUGCAAGUGGAGCGACGAACCGGGGCUUGCCCCGGGGCAGAGCCGCGAACGGGUGAGUAACACGUGGGUAACCCACCUCGAUGACCGGGACAACCCGAGGAAACUCGGGCUAAUACCGGAUGUGAUCCUCUUUUGUAAGAAAGAUGAUGAAAGAUAGCUUCGGCCUUCGCAUCGAGACGGGCCCGCGGCCCAUUAGCUUGUUGGUGGGGUAAUGGCCUACCAAGGCUUCGAUGGGUAGCUGGUCUGAGAGGACGAUCAGCCACACUGGGACUGAGACACGGCCCAGACUCCUACGGGAGGCAGCAGUGGGGAAUCUUGCGCAAUGCGCGAAAGCGUGACGCAGCAACGCCGCGUGGGGGAAGACGGCCUUCGGGUUGUAAACCCCUUUCAGUUGGGACGAAGCUUCAACGGUGAAUAGCCGGCUGGAGUGACGGUACCUUCAGAAGAAGCCCCGGCUAACUACGUGCCAGCAGCCGCGGUAAUACGUAGGGGGCAAGCGUUGUCCGGAAUCAUUGGGCGUAAAGAGCGUGUAGGCGGUUCAGUAAGUCUGCUGUGAAAGUCCAAGGCUCAACCUUGGGAUGCCGGUGGAUACUGCUGAGCUAGAGUACGGAAGAGGCGAGUGGAAUUCCCGGUGUAGCGGUGAAAUGCGCAGAUAUCGGGAGGAACACCUAUUGCGAAGGCAGCUCGCUGGGACGUCACUGACGCUGAGACGCGAAAGCGUGGGGAGCAAACAGGAUUAGAUACCCUAGUAGUCC
rnacentral:rRNA from 1 species